CCGGACCUGACUGCUAUCGGAUUGGUACUAAGCCAUGCGAGUCAUUGUAGCAAUACAAGGCGGACGGCUCAGUAACACGUAGUCAACCUAACCUAUGGACGUGGAUAACCUCGGGAAACUGAGAAUAAACCGCGAUAGAUCAUUAUGCCUGGAAUGGCUUAUGGUUCAAACAAUUUAUUGCCGUAGGAUGGGACUGCGGCCUAUCAGCUUGUUGGUGAGGUAAUGGCCCACCAAGGCUAUAACAGGUACGGGCUCUGAGAGGAGAAGCCCGGAGAUGGGUACUGAGACACGGACCCAGGCCCUAUGGGGCGCAGCAGGCGAGAAACCUUAGCAAUGUGCGAAAGCACGACUAGGUUAAUCCGAGUGAUUCCUGUUGAAGGAAUCUUUUGUCAGUCGUAAAACCACAGACGAAUAAGGGGUGGGCAAGUCUGGUGUCAGCCGCCGCGGUAAUACCAGCACCCCGAGUGGUCAGGAGGUUUAUUGGGCCUAAAGCAUCCGUAGCCGGCUUUGCAAGUCUCCGGUUAAAUCCAGCUGCUCAACAGAUGGGCUGCCGGAGAUACUACACAGCUAGGGAGCGGGAGAGGCAGACGGUAUUCUGUGGGUAGGGGUAAAAUCCAUUGAUCCAUAGAGGACCACCAGUGGCGAAGGCGGUCUGCCAGAACGCGUUCGACGGUGAGGGAUGAAAGCUGGGGGAGCAAACCGGAUUAGAUACCCGGGUAGUCCCAGCUGUAAGCGAUGCAAACUCGGUGAUGCAUUGGCUUAUGGCCAAUGCAGUGCCGCAGGAAGCCGUUAAGUUUGCCGCCUGGGAGUACGGACGCAAGUCUGAACUUAAAGGAAUUGGCGGGG
rnacentral:rRNA from 1 species